UGUGGGAGCGAGCCUGCUCGCGAUGGCGUUGGACCCGUCAGCCUCGAUUUGGCUGACACAUCGCUAUCGCGAGCAGGCUCGCUCCCACA
rnacentral:misc_RNA from 1 species